rnacentral:misc_RNA from 1 species
GACUGUCGCUGGCUUUCUUUUGCAUCGCAUGUGCACGUCCUUUAUCCUUGGAGUCCACCCUUUUCUCUCAUUUAAAAUUCACAACAACCACACCUGUGCACCUAUUGUAGGUUCUCGAAAGAGAAAUCUAUGUUUUUUACUUCACUUUUAAUGCUGCAUGUUCAUAGAAUGUUAUCAAAUUGGCUUUCGUCAAUCAAUCCUGGACUCUUCAUUGGAGUCUUAGGUUUUUUUUGGCCGGUCAAUAUAAAAUCAUAAUACAACUUUCAGCAACGGAUCUCUUGGCUCUCGCAUCGAUGAAGAACGCAGCGAAUUGCGAUAAGUAAUGUGAAUUGCAGAUUUCCAGUGAAUCAUCGAAUCUUUGAACGCACCUUGCGCUCCUUGGUAUUCCGAGGAGCAUGCCUGUUUGAGUGUCAUUUUGAAUUCUCAACCAUCUCUUGAUUCAUUUCAAGAUCGUUGGCUUGG